AUCAAUUGUGGGGUUUUUUUCAACAGGCAAGUGCAGCAAUAUAGGAUGGAGGUGCGGAGCUCUGAACCAGUCAAGUUUGCUCUGAAAGCUUUCUCUGCUGUUAGCAGCAACAACUAUGUCAAGUUCUAUAAACUACUCAGAUCUACGACAUAUCUGAAUGCUUGCAUCAUGCAUCGUUACUUCAUGCAAGUACGGAACAUGGCAUUAGAUGUGAUGAACAAAGCCUACACCGUCAGCCAAACCAGAGGAUCUCGCUUCCCAUUGGCUAAGAUCACAACGACACUGGCGUUUGAUAACCAAUCACAGGCAUUAGAGUUCUGUCUGUCUCAUAACCUGGCUGUAGAGGAUGAGAUGAUUCAAUUUAGUCGUGCUGCCUUCCAACAUCCAGACAUCACUCCAUCACCUGAGAGAUCACUGAGGAUCAUUGAAGCCAAGAAUACCAUGACCAUCGGAGAGGUAGUCAAUGGCGGCCCACUACCACCAGAUGUCCUCCACAAAGCUUCGUCAAGUUUUGAUGAGAAUGGCCUCUACAAGGGCUACACAGUCGUCACUACGGAAACAGCAGCACCAGAGAGCAAAGAUGUUGUUCCAGAGAAGGCAGAGCUUGCAGAAAGCAUCCUCAAACCUGCAGAUGACCAGAUCAUGACAGUACCAACUAGUAUUCCGACAGCCGUCCCACAGAUAGCUACUAAAGUACUCUACCCUAGCACGGAGAUAAAAGAGGCUGCACGAGGCUUGUUCUUGGAGGUGAUUGAUGAGAUGGUUCGAGAUCUUAGUAACAGCUUCCUGGGCUGGCUACGUCUCAUUCAAGUUGGUUCAGUGGAGAUUCUACACAGCACUAUCGAGAGAGUAGUAUUACCAUCCAUCAGGGAGAUUGCACAAGGCGUCAUAGACCAAGAACAACACAGACAUCAAGAGACUCAGAUAGCUGAGAUGAAUCGACGUCGUCUGGAGCAACAAGCAAGAGAAGAAGAGAGACAAAGACAAAUCAUGAUGGAAAGGAAAGAGAGAUUGGAACGGACCGUGACUAACGUCAUGGAGGAGACAGUGGAUGAAGUAGUAGAUGAGCAAUCUAGAAUGAUCAGUGCUGCUGAGAUUAGAGCUGUAGAGCAGCAGCUGAAGCAGGAAUGCAUUGAGCGUGCCACAUCUGAGCUGCAUCAUGAGCUGAUUGAGGAGGUCCUCAUGUCAGAAUGUCACCAUGUAGCUGCUGAGGUCAUCCAGUCAGAGACAGAGCUACGAGACCAACGAUUGGCUGAGAGUGAGAGAGCUGUACUGAUGGCACAGACAGCCAGAUACUUACAAAGGUGGUACCGGGUCUACACCAAACGCAUUCAUCUCAAGCGCACCCUACUGACCUUCCCUGCUGCACCGCCCAACCAAACAGCUGCUGAGCAACUGAAGGUACUAUGGGCUGGUAGAACUGAGAGGUCAGAGGUCACAGAAGGCCACCACCGACGAGACGUCACGCUGGACUCACCGUUUGGCAUUGUGACAGGCAGAGAAAGCAUCGCUAGAUCCAUUCUGAAAGUCCACUACCUCAAGAACCUUCGCCAACAACAAGCAUGGUCGCCCCUUGACCUACCCAGCAUGCUUAGCAACUCCUUCCAUUCCCAUCAUGCAUCUGGACAGGCAGGCAAGAGGCAACAGCAUCAUUAUUGGAAACUAGUUGCUUCCUUGCCGAGUGGUAGGUCACAUGACAAGAAGGUGCUCUGUGAUUGGCUGACGGCAAAGCUACAGAGAGGAAGAAUUUCUGAAGGAAUUCGCAAGAAGCAGCUUGAGGAUAAUAGUCAGGUUGAGACGUUGAGUCUAUACUCCAGCAAAGUCCCCCACAUCUCACCUAGCCAACUAUGCACACUCAGCAUCUGUACAAAGGUCAUGGCAGGGUCACUAGACCUAACACAUCAGCCUCAAACACGGCAUCAGCUGCUAGGAACCAGUGGGAUCCUGUUUGGACUGGAUCAACCCAGUCAAGACCAGAACUAUUGGCAACAAGCCAAAUCCAGGCUGGACUCCAUCUUGCAAGCCAAGCCCACAUCACCACCUCCUCCAGUAGUCAUCGCACUCCUUGAUUGGCCAGCUACUGAGCAUGCUCAGAGCAUGUGUGUGGAGAGGCUCGGACUCCAUAGGCUGUCUCAGAUGGGAUUAGUGUCUUCAUAUUGCUUCAUGCAGCUGAAUGGUGAUGUAGAGGAUCCAGUCAAUAACCAAGAGUUGGGUGAGUGCCUAGAAUGGCUUGCCUCACGUUGUGCCCAGCCUCCCCAGCUAUCUGAGGACUCUCUCAAGGGUUACCUAGAUACUGGGAUGACCGAGUUCUUUAGCUUACCACUCCAUGAAGAUGCCAGGACAAGACGGGAUGCUGGUCUUCCUGAACAGGGUUGUCAUCAUGUGAUUGACUUGUACAAUGCUACAGUCAGGCACCUUGCUGAUGUAGCAAGCAGUAGUACCCUGACUUCUCUCUCCUGGCCACCUACAGAGUUUACCAAGACGGAUAAUCAGACAGAGCUUCCAGAUCCUGACUGGAAUGCCUCCGACACCAUGCAGCUACUACGAGAUAGGAUGCUGUCACUAAUACUCCCUGCUCUCCCAUUGGUUCAUGAGGAUGAUGAAUGGCAGCGUGUGUGUGAUCUGUGUCAUGGAUACCUUGCCACCAUUCCUGGCAGUCAUAGGGGUAAAGCACCUCUCUUCGCAAGAGUUCAGAGACUACUUGAGAAAUGUCGUCGUAGCUUUGAAGAUACCUGCUACCUAGCCUAUGAUGCACCAGGCUGUGAGCCAAUGGCAGGCCACGUACCAUGGACAAGAAUCAUACAGGAAUGUAUCGACUAUGUUAUGUCUACUGUACAGUCACAUGACCUUACAGACGGUGAUGAAGGCAAGCAAAUGACUGUUUACUACAUUCAGAGCGAGUUUGAUAGUUUCAAGAUCCCUCAGACCUGGAAAGAAGCUCUUCAUACAACGACAGAAGACAGCUUCCUUCAACCUCCAAGAUUUGCAUCCCAGGUAGCCGCUGUAGUUCAACAAAAGCAGACAGAGUUUAUGGAGAGGCAACUGGAAGCAACAAUGAUUGAGAUGAAGGACAUCAGGAAACCAGCAGUCAGUGUCUUGGACAGGGAGCCAUUGUAUGCUGUUGAUGCCAAGGAGUCAGCUCAAGCUGUCAAGACUGUGCUGUCAUCUGCAAAAGAAGAAUCCAAAAUGUUUGAUGACCUACUACAGCAGUGGCUUCAUGGCACAAAUGAAAUGACAUCACAAGAUGGCAGGACUGAAACGGAUUCCUCGUCUAAAUCCCCAGCAAGCCCACCACGUUUGGAGCAAAGUCUUCAAGACUUAACAUUGGCUAUGGAGUCUGAACGACAAGCUGCUAGACUCACAGAACUCAGACUAGCAAGUCUGCUCAGUCUCUGAACAGUUGUCUUGCUAUGGAAGGGUGUGUCUUAUCAUGCAUUGAUUGAUAUGACAUGUUGCCAUUGAAAUACAAUCGUAUGUUAUUUGUGCACUUUUUUAAGUUGGAGCCACAAAUUGCUCAAAAUAUUAAGAGGGGGCAUAUAACAGCUCCGUGACAACUGAAAACAGAGUAAACAGAGAAACAUGUGCACAACCACUCAGUCAAUUGACUGGUUUUUGGAAAUAAAGAGUGAUAUGGACAAAAUCCUGUUACGUGAUCAAAAGGCUGUGAAAAUGUUUUCAAUGUUUUCUCAAAAAGUGUAAUAUCCAUUGUGCUUAAACUUCAACAGGUUACAUUUUGAACAGUCUGCUUCGGAUUUUGAGUGGUGCUCUUAUUGGAAACGAACAAAACGUAUGAGAAGCGACUGAUCCUAUGUAUGCCUUUAAGUACUUAAGUAACUGUAAAAAGUAAGUAAAGUCUGUCCCGAGCCAAUGUGGCUCAUCAGGCCGGUGUUUAUCUCCGGUUUCCUUGGCAUGAAACGACUGAGAAUAUUUCUACUCCCCCUGAAUGGGAUGCCA
rnacentral:misc_RNA from 1 species